rnacentral:rRNA from 1 species
UACGUAGGCAGCAAGCGUUGUUCGGAGUUACUGGGCGUAAAGGGUGUGUAGGCGGUUCCCUAGGUUUGGUGUGAAAUCUCCCGGCUCAACUGGGAGGGUGCGCCGAAAACUGGGGAGCUAGAGUGCGGGAUGGGUAAGUGGAAUUCCUGGUGUAGCGGUGAAAUGCGUAGAUAUCAGGAGGAACACCUGUGGUGUAGACGGCUUACUGGACCGCAACUGACGCUGAGACACGAAAGCGUGGGUAGCAAACAGG